rnacentral:rRNA from 1 species
UACGGGAGGCAGCAGUGGGGAAUUUUGGACAAUGGGCGAAAGCCUGAUCCAGCAAUGCCGCGUGUGUGAAGAAGGCCUUCGGGUUGUAAAGCACUUUUGUCCGGAAAGAAAUCCUGAGGGCUAAUAUCCUUCGGGGAUGACGGUACCGGAAGAAUAAGCACCGGCUAACUACGUGCCAGCAGCCGCGGUAAUACGUAGGGUGCGAGCGUUAAUCGGAAUUACUGGGCGUAAAGCGUGCGCAGGCGGUUUGUUAAGACCGAUGUGAAAUCCCCGGGCUCAACCUGGGAACUGCAUUGGUGACUGGCAAGCUAGAGUAUGGCAGAGGGGGGUAGAAUUCCACGUGUAGCAGUGAAAUGCGUAGAGAUGUGGAGGAAUACCGAUGGCGAAGGCAGCCCCCUGGGCCAAUACUGACGCUCAUGCACGAAAGCGUGGGGAGCAAACAGGAUUAGAU